rnacentral:rRNA from 1 species
AGUGAACGCUGGCGGUAGGCCUAACACAUGCAAGUCGAACGGCAGCACAGGAGAGCUUGCUCUCUGGGUGGCGAGUGGCGGACGGGUGAGGAAUACAUCGGAAUCUACUUUUUCGUGGGGGAUAACGUAGGGAAACUUACGCUAAUACCGCAUACGACCUACGGGUGAAAGCAGGGGACCUUCGGGCCUUGCGCGAUUGAAUGAGCCGAUGUCGGAUUAGCUAGUUGGCGGGGUAAAGGCCCACCAAGGCGACGAUCCGUAGCUGGUCUGAGAGGAUGAUCAUCCACACUGGAACUGGUACACGGUCCAGACUCCUACGGGAGGAAGCAGUGGGGAAUAUUGGACAAUGGGCGCAAGCCUGAUCCAGCCAUACCGCGUGGGUGAAGAAGGCCUUCGGGUUGUAAAGCCCUUUUGUUGGGAAAGAAAUCCAGCUGGCUAAUACCCGGUUGGGAUGACGGUACCCAAAGAAUAAGCACCGGCUAACUCCGUGCCAGCCGCCGCGGUAA